GACGAACGCUGGCGGCGUGCCUAAUACAUGCAAGUCGAGCGAAGUUUUUCUGGUGCUUGCACCGGAAAAACUUAGCGGCGAACGGGUGAGUAACACGUAAAGAACCUGCCUCAUAGACUGGGACAACUAUUGGAAACGAUAGCUAAUACCGGAUAAUAGCAUUAACUGCAUGGUUGAUGUUUAAAAGUUGGUUUUGCUAACACUAUGAGAUGGCUUUGCGGUGCAUUAGCUAGUUGGUGGGGUAAAGGCCUACCAAGGCGACGAUGCAUAGCCGACCUGAGAGGGUGAUCGGCCACACUGGGACUGAGACACGGCCCAGACUCCUACGGGAGGCAGCAGUAGGGAAUCUUCUGCAAUGGGCGAAAGCCUGACGGAGCAACGCCGCGUGAGUGAAGAAGGAUUUCGGUUCGUAAAGCUCUGUUGUUAGGGAAGAAUGAUUGUGUAGUAACUAUACACAGUAGAGACGGUACCUAACCAGAAAGCCACGGCUAACUACGUG
rnacentral:rRNA from 1 species